rnacentral:rRNA from 1 species
UACGAAGGGGGCUAGCGUUGCUCGGAAUUACUGGGGCGUAAAGCGCACGUAGGCGGCUCUUUAAGUCGGGGGUGAAAUCCUGGAGCUCAACUCCAGAACUGCCUUCGAUACUGUAGAGCUUGAGUUCGGGAGAGGUGAGUGGAACUGCGAGUGUAGAGGUGAAAUUCGUAGAUAUUCGCAAGAACACCAGUGGCGAAGGCGGCUCACUGGCCCGAUACUGACGCUGAGGUGCGAAAGCGUGGGGAGCAAACAGG